UACGUAGGUGGCAAGCGUUGUCCGGAUUUACUGGGCGUAAAGGGCGCGUAGGCGGUUCGCUAAGUUGGAUGUGAAAUCCCCAGGCUUAACCUGGGAACUGCAUCCGAUACUGGAUGGCUUGAAUCCGGGAGAGGGAUGCAGAAUUCCAGGUGUAGCGGUGAAAUGCGUAGAUAUCUGGAGGAAUACCGGUGGCGAAGGCGGCAUCCUGGACCGGCAUUGACGCUGAGGAGCGAAAGCCAGGGGAGCAAACGGG
rnacentral:rRNA from 1 species